UCCUCUUCCAGGUGGAGCAGCAGGAUCUCUCGGGCAGCCCCCUUGGCUCCCCAUCUCCUUUGAGGAGGUGGCUGUGUAUUUCUCCCAAGGGGAGUGGGACCUCCUGGAUCAGGGCCAGCGGGCGCUCUGCCAGCAGGUUUUGGUGGAGAAUUAUGGGAAUGUGGCCUCUCUGGUUCCCAGACCUGGCCUCAUUUCCCGGCUGGAGGAAGGGGAUGACCCAUUUGUCCAGGACUCCUCAGACGGAGAGGGAUCAACAGGGGGCCG